UACGUAGGGUGCAAGCGUUGUCCGGAAUUAUUGGGCGUAAAGAGCGUGUAGGCGGCCAGGUAGGUCGGUUGUGAAAACUGGAGGCUCAACCUUCAGAGGUCGACCGAAACCAUCUGGCUAGAGUCCGGGAGAGGAGAGUGGAAUUCCUGGUGUAGCGGUGAAAUGCGCAGAUAUCAGGAAGAACACCCGUGGUGAAAGCGGCUCUCUGGAACGGUACUGACGCUGAGACGCGAAAGCGUGGGGAGCGAACAGG
rnacentral:rRNA from 1 species